rnacentral:tRNA from 1 species
AAUAUGCUAGUUUAAUAAAAACAUUAAAUUGUAAAUUUAAAAAUAUAUAUUUGCAUAUUA